rfam:Gemmatimonadetes bacterium 13_1_40CM_2_60_3 13_1_40cm_2_scaffold_47029, whole genome shotgun sequence.
CCCAGGUCCCGGAGGGCGUUAGCCCGCUAACUCCGUCAGGACCCCGAAGGUAGCAGCGGCAUGCGGUGUCUAUCGUUGCUCCGUAAGACCUGGGGUA